UUUCGCUGUCGAAGCGCAUCCCACGAAGUGCGUUCUCCCUUGGCAUUAAAUAAACCGUGACACGUUUACGAUCGGUUGGAUGCAUUAAUUUUCUAAAACAAAUAAACAGUGGAAAUGAAAACCUUUUCCAAUGCGUUUUAAUUCCACGGUGAAAUCUUGCCUUCGAAACUAACGUGAAACGUGAAUUCGUGUUUCUGUAAGAUGACCACUACGCGAAAAAAGAUGAUGUUUAACAGAGAUGGGAACAGGAUCGAGGAUUAAAAGUGAUGGAGCAGCUUGGAAGUCAGAGUUUGAUCAGCAAUUGAAUUUCGUACAGGUCGCGAAUACGAGAAAAAUUAAAUAAGCAUGUCGGGAAACGAGGAAACUCCUCAGGACGGAGGUGGCGAUGCCGCGAAGAAGGAUGACAUAUUUGAGAAUCAAGGAACCAAGAAGUUAAUACGUUUAGUCACUGUGAUGGCUUACAUGUUUUCCGUGAGUUUCGUAGCCAUCGUCCUGAGCGCGUAUUAUAUAUUCCUUUGGGAACCGCCGAAUCCGACGCUCCUACGAAGACCAGGACCAUUAUCCGACCCUGAACUGGAUUUCUUAAGGAGCGAUCCCAUGGAAGAGAACGAACCGUUCUAUCAUCGUCAUCAUAAAAAUCAUACGAGUUUCCUCUCUGCUCGCGUUAUCAAAGACAACUUCUAUCCGCGUUUUGAAUUUCCUGUUCCGAUAAUCACCGAGCCAGACAAUCUCAUCAAGGACCACGCAGAGGAACGUAAAGAAUUAAACAAAUCUCUGUCUUCAUUGAGAAACUACUUGAUCGAAGUUUUGCAGCAUAAGGCGAUCGAGUCUCUUAACCACACGGAGAAGGGAAAUACAGGAGGAAAAGUUCGAAGACAUUCCUCGAUAAUUAUGAAUCGUUUGCUGAAUGACAAUAGCUCAUUUCAGACACUGGAAUCUCCGACUAUUUCUGGAGGCAAAGCAAAUAAUGACCGUUUGACGAUCAGCAGACACGACUCUGUGUAUGAUUCGCCUCCAAAUAUUUUGAAGAAGACGGAAAGUGUCGAUCGAGAAAAAUUUGGAGAGAACCAAGUUGUAUCGAGCUUCAAGACCGAAUCGAAAACGCCUUGGUAUUUGAACGUACCGGAUGGAGAAUUUAUAAAUAUCGCUAUGAGAAGUGAUGAAGGAAAUGUUGACACGAAAGGAAAUAAAGAUCGCACGAGUAACGUCGAUAACAUAAACAAUCAACCGACUACAGAUUCCACAUACAAGAUGAACUAUGCAGAUCGUCUGAAAUAUUCUAAGCAAUUAAAAGAGUCACGUGCAAAGCUGAACGUUGCGCAAAAUUCGAAAGGUAAAUAAACGUUUUGCAAAUCGUAAUUCAGCUCUUCAUACCAUGCACCUUAUAACCAGUCGGAUUUUGAUAAAAGGCAAUCGUUCGUUACCUUCACUUGAAGAUCUAUCCUUCGUCGAAAUUAAUGAAACGACCCCUUCGGGGAAGGAAAUGCAUUUUUCCCUUUGUAUUAGAUAUCGAAGUCACCAUCGAACAGUGACUUACGGGUCGUAAUACCAUGUUUGUCUCCAAAGUGAUCGAAGAACGACAUCUUAAAUGCUAUUAAAAUAAAGGCGCGCCUCUUUUGUAAAACGAGAUUAUCGUUAAAGUCACGUUGUUCUCGAAACGGAAACCUAUAGCGUUUGACUGUAUUUUAUGACCUUUUAUAACUUCCUAAUUUCCAUUAAUUGGAACGGGAGCGCUUUUAUAUAAAUGGUAUUUGUUACGAGACCGGGGAGUGUAUCCCGUUUAGGAGGAACGUGACAAGUAUUAACUUCGAAGAACGACACGAACUUACGUAAAAUACUUGCGCAAGCAUUUAAUUCGUCACUUCGUCCACGGAAGCACUUCAGUUCAUGAUUUUUAUCCAUUUUAUAUCAUUCAUUUCAUUAUAAAUUUUAUUAACCCAUCGUGACCUUUGACCGUAACUCGUUUACAAAAUAUAAAAUUAAGACAAAUUAUUAUCAGUUAUAGAGAUUGAUACAUAUCGCCUAUUAAGAUUGUUCUGGCUAUACAGUCUCUGCAAAAGUAUGGUCUACUCUCUAAUUCUGUUGUACAGCUACUGGCGUUAAAAGUUUUAUUUUAAUUGGAAUACAACAAAAUAAUUAUUGAAGUCGUUCAACUAGUAUUCUCCCUCCGUGUGUCAUUCGACUUGUAGCCAGAACAGCUUCGAAUGCGUAGAGCAGUCGGAAUGCAUAAAGAUCUCGAAGCGUCCUAAGCUUUUUACAUAAAAUAAGGCUAGUUGGUAUAUCAGUUUAAGGGUAUUUGCCACGAUGAAACCCGUAAAGUUGAGCAGCCCUUGAAGCUUGCGAAACGAAGUAGGAUGAGUCAAGGUUCCGAGACUUGCGCAGUGAAAGCUCUUCGGUAUCGCUAGGCGGGUGUGUUUUUUAACAGCUGCAUUGGUACGAAACGUCGAUUCCCCUCAGUCAAGGGACAGAAAUAGUUAUAAUAGUGGGAACGUUGGCACCGAGUAUUCUCUCGCGUAUGCACCAAGAGUUUACAUUCUUUCUCGCUAAAAGUUACCACAUCCCUUAUCGUUGCUUCCGGUACCUACAGUGUUUGCUUGGAAACGCCCAGCUAGUAUAAACUAGCAGCUCGUUUUUCCAAACCCGACAACCGGCAUAAGUGAACGUUGGAUCGCGCAAGAUCAUCAAACAUUUCUAUCAGAAAUCAGUAGCAAUCUGUCUUGAGUGUAAACACAUGCCGUGCAGGGGUAGCAGUUGACGCGAGAUGCGCUCGAGUUGCGAAGCCUUUAAAGCUCGUAAUAAACCUAUAAAGUUUACCGAGUGUUCAUAAAU